rnacentral:rRNA from 1 species
UGCUAUACAUGCAAGUCGAGCGAACAGAUAAGGAGCUUGCUCCUUUGACGUUAGCGGCGGACGGGUGAGUAACACGUGGGUAACCUACCUAUAAGACUGGGAUAACUUCGGGAAACCGGAGCUAAUACCGGAUAACAUUUGGAACCGCAUGGUUCUAAAGUGAAAGAUGGUUUUGCUAUCACUUAUAGAUGGACCCGCGCCGUAUUAGCUAGUUGGUAAGGUAACGGCUUACCAAGGCGACGAUACGUAGCCGACCUGAGAGGGUGAUCGGCCACACUGGAACUGAGACACGGUCCAGACUCCUACGGGAGGCAGCAGUAGGGAAUCUUCCGCAAUGGGCGAAAGCCUGACGGAGCAACGCCGCGUGAGUGAUGAAGGGUUUCGGCUCGUAAAACUCUGUUAUUAGGGAAGAACAAACGUGUAAGUAACUGUGCACGUCUUGACGGUACCUAAUCAGAAAGCCACGGCUAACUACGUGCCAGCAGCCGCGGUAAUACGUAGGUGGCAAGCGUUAUCCGGAAUUAUUGGGCGUAAAGCGCGCGUAGGCGGUUUCUUAAGUCUGAUGUGAAAGCCCACGGCUCAACCGUGGAGGGUCAUUGGAAACUGGGAAACUUGAGUGCAGAAUAGGAAAGUGGAAUUCCAUGUGUAGCGGUGAAAUGCGCAGAGAUAUGGAGGAACACCAGUGGCGAAGGCGACUUUCUGGUCUGUAACUGACGCUGAUGUGCGAAAGCGUGGGGAUCAAACAGGAUUAGAUACCCUGGUAGUCCACGCCGUAAACGAUGAGUGCUAAGUGUUAGGGGGUUUCCGCCCCUUAGUGCUGCAGCUAACGCAUUAAGCACUCCGCCUGGGGAGUACGACCGCAAGGUUGAAACUCAAAGGAAUUGACGGGGACCCGCACAAGCGGUGGAGCAUGUGGUUUAAUUCGAAGCAACGCGAAGAACCUUACCAAAUCUUGACAUCCUUUGAAAACUCUAGAGAUAGAGCCUUCCCCUUCGGGGGACAAAGUGACAGGUGGUGCAUGGUUGUCGUCAGCUCGUGUCGUGAGAUGUUGGGUUAAGUCCCGCAACGAGCGCAACCCUUAAGCUUAGUUGCCAUCAUUAAGUUGGGCACUCUAGGUUGACUGCCGGUGACAAACCGGAGGAAGGUGGGGAUGACGUCAAAUCAUCAUGCCCCUUAUGAUUUGGGCUACACACGUGCUACAAUGGACAAUACAAAGGGCAGCUAAACCGCGAGGUCAUGCAAAUCCCAUAAAGUUGUUCUCAGUUCGGAUUGUAGUCUGCAACUCGACUACAUGAAGCUGGAAUCGCUAGUAAUCGUAGAUCAGCAUGCUACGGUGAAUACGUUCCCGGGUCUUGUACACACCGCCCGUCACACCACGAGAGUUUGUAACACCCGAAGCCGGUGGAGUAACCAUUUAUGGAGCUAGCCGUCGAAGGUGGGACAAAUG